AUUGAACGCUGGCGGCAGGCCUAACACAUGCAAGUCGAACGAGUGGCGGACGGGUGAGUAAUGUCUGAGCAACUGCCUGAUGGAGGGGGCUAACUACUGGAAAAGGUAGCUAAUAGCGCAUACCAUCGGAUGUGCCCAGAUGGGAUUAGCUAGUGGGUGGGGUAAUGGCUCACCUAGGCGACGAGCCCGAGCGGGUCUGAGAGGAGGACCAGCCACACUGGAACGGAGACACGGUCCAGACUCCUACGGGAGGCAGCAGUGGGGAAUAUUGCACAAUGGGCGCAAGCCUGAUGCAGCCAUGCCGCGUGUGUGAAGAAGGCCUUCGGGUUGUAAAGCACUUUCAGCGAGGAGGCGUUACUCGCAGAAGAAGCACCGGCUAACUCCGUGCCAGCAGCCGCGGUAAUUC
rnacentral:rRNA from 1 species